rnacentral:rRNA from 1 species
CUACGGGAGGCAGCAGUGGGGAAUAUUGCACAAUGGGCGCAAGCCUGAUGCAGCUAUGCCGCGUGUGUGAAGAAGGCCUUCGGGUUGUAAAGCACUUUCAGCGGGGAGGAAGGCGGUGAGGUUAAUAACCUCAUCGAUUGACGUUACCCGCAGAAGAAGCACCGGCUAACUCCGUGCCAGCAGUCGCGGUAAUACGGAGGGUGCAAGCGUUAAUCGGAAUUACUGGGCGUAAAGCGCACGCAGGCGGUCUGUCAAGUCGGAUGUGUAAUCCCCGGGCUCAACCUGGGAACUGCAUUCGAAACUGGCAGGCUAGAGUCUUGUAGAGGGGGGUAGAAUUCCAGGUGUAGCGGUGAAAUGCGUAGAGAUCUGGAGGAAUACCGGUGGCGAAGGCGGCCCCCUGGACAAAGACUGACGCUCAGGUGCGAAAGCGUGGGGAGCAAACAGGAUUAGAUACCCGUGUAGUC